ACUCAACACUAUUCAAUUAGAAAGGAUGAGUCUAAGUUGUUAAAUCGUGCCAUUUUAAAUGGAUUUUUGAUCAGCUUGUUAGUUCUAUACCUGUUUUCAGGAGUUU
rnacentral:sRNA from 1 species